GGGGCAUUAGCUCAGCUGGGAGAGCGCCUGCCUUGCAAGCAGGAGGUCAUCGGUUCGAUCCCGUUAUGCUCCACCA
rnacentral:tRNA from 1 species